GGCCCCGGUCCCGCCGCAACGGCGCCGCCGCCAGCGCUUCCCCUUCCGGCCGCCCGUGAGGGCACGGGAGCCGCUUAAAGGGCCCGCGCGCCCUGCCCGCCGUGGGGAACGACAGAUCGUCCUACUAACCGCAGGAGGACAACUAAAGGCAGCUCCUUCCAGCAGAAGGGAGACACAGGCACACAUUCCUACUUCAGUGCACCAGACAGAGGGAGCAAGAUCUCUGAGCAUGAGGAUUUGGCAAGGUAACAAACAUUCACCACAAGGGAGAGAAAUGGCACAGAGGAUGAAGAUAAGAAAACGUCUCUUCUCAUUUAAAUCAGAAGCCUCUCCAUUAGCAAACAGAACAACAGAACAGCUGCUUCUUUCCAUUCCCCAAAUGAAACAGCUCGCACCACGCCAAGUCUGCCACCUUUCUAACAGAGCAGUUAUCAAAACAGAGCGACUCACAGAGGACAGCCACAGCUCCGGACUCGAACAUGAGACAUUCUUCUCUGUUCCUGGUUUCCACGAUCACGCUGAAGGGAAGUGGAUCCAGCUUGUGAUAGACUCGGUAUCCUUUACUGAAAGCCAUUUUGCCUCAAGCACAGGCAGCCUGUCCAACACAAGAUGAUGUUAGUGAAACCUCCCUGCACUCCCACACACCUCCCGCAGGGCUGGUCUGACCCACGGCCUUUCCUAGGGAUUUAACACGUUCAGCAAAAACUAACAACAAAAUCCCCUGCUCCCUCAUUCUACCUCAUGAGACUUAGUUUAUCUAUGUCUAAAAAAACCACAGGGAUUACCUAAAGACGGCAAAACAGUGUUUCAAAACCAGAACUACCCAGAAAAACACCUUUAAAAGUCUGGAUUUAUUUAAAAGCUCCUUUGAGACAA